UUUCAGACAUAGACAUAGACUGGGUGACAUAUCUCCUGAAGUCCGUGGCCACUUCUGCACACUCCUCUUGUCUCCUCUCAUAUUCUGUUGGUUCCACAGACGUGAUUGUGAGUGACUCAUCUCAUUACCUCUAAUGGAGCUACCCCCAUUAUCUCCAGGGAGCCAGGAGAGGGUGAUGGAGGAGGAUGUCGUCUUGGAUACGGUGAGCCGAGGCUGAUCUGGUGGAACUGGGGAGGAAACAGUUUGUAGAAAACAAGAAUUAGUUUCUCACAUCCUCAAUCCUUGGUAACAGUCAUUUACCAAAUCACUGUAACAGCCAUUGAUUAAAUACAUGUUUUAAAGUUGCCAAAAUAGGCAGUUCAUUUCUGUCAAAAUGUCUGUCUCAUUGAUGUCCCAGGCUAGUGAGGCAGAGUGUAGUGAAUCUAUGAUUUAAGAAAAAGUCAACCACAUUUCUACCUUGAUUUACGUCUAAUUCUUUUCCUCGCUAUCCCUUGGAUUCCUGAGUUGUCCAUCUUGAAUGUAAACUUUUAUACUUACUAAGGACACAGGCAUUAAUUUACUCUGAACUCCAGCCAGGAAAUUAGGUGGAAAUGAUUGACAUGCCCAUUUAGCUGAUUUGUUUUUCCCAAGGGGGGAAAAAAGAUGCAGCUAGUAGGAAGAAUAAUUAAUACCAUGCUGCAAGGCACUACACACACGCACAUGUACACACACACACUCACAAACACAAGCAUACACACAUACACACACACACAUAUAUACAUACAUGCAUAUACACAACCACAUAUACACAUACAAGUAUAUAUACACACACGUACUUGCAUAUGCAAACAUGCAAACAAGUACAUAUGCACACAUACAUAUAUACAGACACAUGUAUACACACAGGCAUAUAACAUACACCAAGGCUUUGAAAAC
rnacentral:lncRNA from 1 species